rnacentral:rRNA from 1 species
AGUGAACGCUGGCGGCAGGCCUAAUACAUGCAAGUCGAACGGCAGCACAGCAGAGCUUGCUCUGUGGGUGGCGAGUGGCGGGCGGGUGAGGAAUACAUGGGAAUCUGCCCAGUCGUGGGGGAUAACGUAGGGAAACUUACGCUAAUACCGCAUGCGCCCUUCGGGGGAAAGCCGGGGACCUUCGGGCCUGGCGCGAUUGGAUGAGCCCAUGUCGGAUUAGCUAGUUGGCGGGGUAAUGGCCCACCAAGGCGACGAUCCGUAGCUGGUCUGAGAGGAUGAUCAGCCACACUGGAACUGAGACACGGUCCAGACUCCUACGGGAGGCAGCAGUAGGGAAUAUUGGACAAUGGGCGCAAGCCUGAUCCAGCCAUGCCGCGUGAGUGAAGAAGGCCCUCGGGUUGUAAAGCUCUUUUGUCCGGAAAGAAAAGCGCCGGGUUAAUACCCUAGUGUCCUGACGGUACCGGAAGAAUAAGCACCGGCUAACUUCGUG